CGUGAACUUCCGUAGGAGCCCGCCCGGGACCCGUACUCCGUCCGGCAGGCAAACGGCCACCCCACGCUUCCUAGGCGCGCAGCACAAACGGUCCGUGGAGAACUAACGCGUGCGCCCGGAGCCUCUCCUUGUGCCACCUUCUCAUCCCUUCCUCCCGUCCCUGCCCAUCCCCGCCGCCGGCGCCGAUCCGGUGUCUGUCCUUGUAUAUUGAGUUGCAUUCUCUAGGUUAUUUUUUAGGGCUGAGUAGUAUUCCACCGUACGGACCCAGCACAUUGCUUCUGCACGCGUGUCGCGUGGAUGAACCUUCGCGCUGUUUCCAGUCCAAAUAAAGCCGCCGGGAACAUUGCACGUUCACAUCCCUGGCUUGCAGAGCUGGAAACCUCCGACUCGAAAUGAGAAGGGAGAGGAACGUGCUAAUUCGGUGCAUACAGAAUCCUUCUACAAAAGAGUAAAGUUAAAAACCAGGGCCCUGGCAAGAAGGUACCAGCCAGAUGGGACGGGAUCGGACCGGAUGUGGUAAAAUCAGUGAGAUCGCUUGCACGACGUGGUGGCACCAGUGACAAUGGGAGAAGUUGACGGGCAGAUCUGACACAUUUGACACUUAGGAGGAAUACAGCUUGGCAAAAACACAUCCAAGGACACCACGUGUGAUUUCCUCCGCGCUGAUUUUGGAAGCUGGGAUGUUUCUGCAUACGCGCAUCAGCAACAUCUAAGCCAACACUCCUCUGGGCCUGUUUCAAACAGCACAUUGAUAUGCCCUGAGCUCUUCUCCGAGUGACCAAGGGCCCGCGUCCGUCCACCGCACUGUGAACAGCAGCGGGAAAGCCCUCGAGAACACAGAGGAAAUAGAUGCCAUGUUGUUUGGAAAUAUUUACAUUGGGAAGUCAUCACGUACGCAGAUUUUUUUUUUUUUUUCAUUUAAAGCUGUGGUUUUGCCCUUUAUCCAUAUUUUGGCUACGUUUGUUUUGUUUGGAUAGUGAAAGCACGUGUCAUUGUCAGCUGUUGUUGUUGUUGUUUUAAAUGUCUUUUGGCUUUCUGCAACAGCAAUGUCAAUUACAACAAAAUUAAAGAUGAGGUCUAAGGAAACAGUAAUUUUUGUGUUUGCCGCGCAGAACAUUUAUAAAAUUUACUUUUACAGCAGGAUUAGUAAAAACUGGAGCAAAAAUACUAAAGAUAGAUGAAGAAAAAAAAUACAAAGAACCUGGAAAAAAGAAAAGCAUUUCUGUUAAAUAUUUAUUGUUAUUUCGAGAGAGCUUAGGCGUACGUGUUUUUUUUUUUCUCACGUGGAUGUCAUAUUCAUAUUGCUCCUGUUUUAGUCUUAACUGUAUUCUUUAUGGUUUUCUUUUCUGCUUAAAUGCAGAGUUGCUCAGAUUGUUAUUUCUGUGUAAGAUAUGUUACCCAAUGGGGAGGGUUGAGAAAAAAUAAAAUGGUUUUCUUCAGCCAUUUAAUAUCGGGACUAUAAAUGACCUCUUCUACUUGUUCACUAAUAAACAGAAUGGUGAGGAUCCCAAGAAAAACAAAAUAAUCUGCUUGGUGAUCUUGGGGUACCCAUCAUGAAGGUCGAUAUUUGUACACGUGUCCUCCAGGCAUCAUCAUGAUCGUGUAUUUCAGGCAUGUUUCCUCAUCAUGAUUCAAUGUAAUUGUUGACUUUCAGAGAGAUUUUCUUCAGACAACGGGGGUAUGUUGGUGGCAGACACAAAGCUGGAACUUACUGACCCUAGGAGCUUUGAGAACAUUCUGCAAUUUACUGGCCACAGCACAGAAUUUUUUCUUCAGUACUACUUGGCUGACCGGAGUUCAAUGUCUCCUCUAGCUGAGUUCCAAAUGCUUUUGAAAGUAGUGGGAAGGUUAUGCCUCUGAGCACAGUCAAGAUAUUUAAGGUGAAACUUGUGUUUAUGUGUUUGUAUUUGUACAUGUGUGUAUAUGAGCGUGCAUAUGUGUUUAUGUACAUGAGUGUGUGUUAAGAAGAGGUUGAAGAAUUCCUUCUAGAAUGCAAAUAUUUUUUAUUUAACAUUACUUCUCAACAGAAUAAUGGAAUGAUUCAUUUUAAAUACUCAUAAGAGGAGAAUGUGUUUGCAUAUAUAGACUAUGCAAAAAUAUAUGUAGGAGACUAUAAUAAAAUGCAUUUAAAGAAAAUUUUUAAUGCUUUAUUUUUGAGACAGAGAGGGAUAGAGCAUGAACAGGGAAGGGGCAGAGA